AUUGAACGCUGGCGGCAGGCCUAACACAUGCAAGUCGAACGGCAGCACAGAAAUUGCUUGCGGUUACGGCGGGCGAGUGGCGGGCGGUGCAUGGGUACAUCCGAGUCUGCUUUUUAUUAGGUGCGAACGUAGGGGAACUUACCGCAUACGCGCAUACGGCCUACGGGGGGAAUCUUGGGAUCUUAUGCCAUUGGGCGAUUGAAUGUCGCUUUGUCUGAUUAGCUAGUUGGCGGGGUACAGGCACACCGAGGCGACGAUCCGUAGCUGGUCUGAGAGGAUGAUCAGCCACACUGGAACUGAGACACGGUCCAGACUCCUACGGGAGGCAGCAGUGGGGAAUAUUGGACAAAGGGCGAAAGCCUGAUCCAGCCAUACCGCGUGGGUGAAGAAGGCCUUCGGGUUGUAAAGCACUUUUGGUUGGAAAGAAAAGCAGCAAGUUAAUACCUCGCUGUUUUGACGGUACCAAAAGAAUAAGCACCGGCUAACUUCGUG
rnacentral:rRNA from 1 species